AAGAUGCAAAUCCGCCAGAGCUACUGCAAUCUCCGGCCAUAGUGGCGUCCAAGCUAACACCGGCGAUGAUGACUCGGCGCCGCCGGAUAGACGACGACAACGUCACUUGGAUCUGGACGCCGCUAGAUCGACGACGAUGCUGCCGGCUCAACCUCGAUUGCGUCUCCAAUUCCAUCGUCGAGGAGCUUGGCUAGAUCUCCGAUUCCAUCAAUGAAGACCUUGACUGGAUCUUCGGUUUCGUCGACGACGACCUCGACUGGAUCUCCAAUUCGGUCAACGACGACCUCGACUAGAUAUCAUAUUCCGACGACGACAUCUCGCUCGACCUUGUUUACAAAUCUGAUUCCGAGGCCUAUAUCUCCGGUGUCGAUCUGCUUCUCCGACGACGAUAACGACGCUGCCGGCCGAAGACGACGCCUCGAUCUCGACCUUGACGCAGUCGGCCUUACGUGGAUGUCUCGAUUGUGCCCUAGGUCGUCGUCGUUCUCGAUGAAGUUCGUGGAAAGCUCUCAAACCCUCAUAUCUGAGCUAUCAAUGUAAACCUCUUCUAAUUUCUCACUUUGAUUAUCCGUCCUUCUUUCAAUGAGCUAGAGGCUGCUGCCAUGGCAUGUGCUGAUCUGAUGGCCGCUAGACGACUUGUAAUCUAGCUUCAGGUGGUGGUAGUAGUUUUUGUAGAUGAUAGUAGUAGCUUUUGUGGCUGGUAGUAGUAUUUUUUGUGUUAGUCGGAAACCUCAUAGUAGUAGCUUUUGUAGGCGGUGGUAGUAGCUUUUGUAGCCGGUGGUAGUAGCUUUUGUGGCUGGUGGUAGUAGUUUUGUGUUUUGUCGGAAACCUCACAGUAGUAGCUUUUGUGGCUGGUGGUAGUAGUUUUUGUGUUUCGUCAUAAACCUCACAGUAGUAGCUUUUGUAAGCGGUAGUAGUAGCUUUUGUAGGCGGUGGUAGUAGCUUUUGUAGCUGGUGGUAGUAGCUUUUGUAGCUGGUGGCAGUAAUUUUUGUGUUUCGUCGGAAACCUCACAGUAAUAGCUUUUGUAGGCGGUAAUAGUAGCUUUUGUAGCUGGUGGUAGUAUCUUUUAUAGUUAGUAGUAGUAAUUUUUGUCAUCAUCGGAGGUCAGUCGGAAACCUCACCGGAGGUCGGCCGGAAAUCUCGUCGGAGAUCAGCCGGAAACCUCGCCGGAGGUCGGCCGGAGACUUUUCCAAGAUGAGAGUGGUUGUUGACUUUUUAUACUAGUGGUAUUUUUGUAAAUAUAAAGGAGAAAAUCUAAUGUUUUUUAUUGGAUGGCAGUCUGUAAUUUUGUUCAAUUUUUAUACCUAAUAUAAAACCUUAUUUAGGCUUAGGUGGACUUAUGUGAGUAAAAAUGUUUGGGUGGACUUAUAUGAAAUAAAAUGUUUAAAAGUGGACUUCUAUGUAAUUGGCACAAACCUCUACUAUAGGGUCAUUUUCUUAUGGAGUCACCGAACGAGGCAACAGUACUAGUCGUCUUGCUCCGGAAGUCUAUAUGUUAGUAGCAGCACCGCACCUUUGUGACUUUUGAAAUUUUGCUAAUUUUUCUUUGCUUCUAUAUAUAUAUAUAUAUAUAUAUAUAUAUAUAUGUAUCUCAUCAGAGGAUUGGAGAUGCGACUCACAGUUAUUCUGAUGUUGUGUAGAGAAGUUAUGCUAGUCGAUCAGGUUUUAGUCAUUCAGAUAUAUAUACUCAUUGGUAGAAAAGGAGAGCUAAACUUGUUUCCAGUGAAUGAUACAUUGAUAGUGCUCUUCGGUAGUACGUAGUACGUUUUGAUUGUUUGCUUGAUCCAAGAGCGUUUUGGCUAUGAUAAGGAAUAUUGAAAUUAUCUGCUAGCUUCAAAUUUCUAAAACAAAAUGUAAUUUCUUUUUCAAACUUAUAUCUGACAUUAACAAAAAAUUUUAACAUUAUAAUUAAGGAAUAAUUUUCUUGAAUUUUUCUAUGCUAGCUCUCUCCUCUCUCUUGAAUCACCA
rnacentral:lncRNA from 1 species